ACUUGGCUUUCUCUUUAUCACUUUCACAUUCUCUUUGUGCAUCACGGAUGACAUUACCAAAAGCAUCAUCGCCCCGAUCAUCUUCUGCCGCUACCUCUUCUUCAUUACCUCCCCCCAUUGCAACAUCAUUGAAGCCACCGUACUGAGCAAUAAUAUUGGCAUGGUCCAAUUCUUCUUCUUCUUCUUCACCUUCAUCCAUUAUAAUCCCACUUUCUCCAUGUUUGGUCCAACAAAUAUAGUUUGGUACGAAACCAGACUUUAAUAAGUGCGAAUGAAGAGUUCUUGAGUUAGAAUAUUCGGUCAAAUUCUUUCACACGGCACAUGGACAGCACAUAAAACCGUCCCUCUAUUUGUCUCGCCCACACUUAAUAAAUAGUGCACGCCAUUAAUGAACUCUUCGGAGCACCGAUCGGCAUUAUACAUCCAAUUACGUGUUACCAUCUGCAUUAAAUAUAAC
rnacentral:lncRNA from 1 species